UUUGGAUCAUGGNUCAAAUGGAACGCUGGGGGAAUGCCUCCCUUUUGCAAGUCGAACGGCAGCAUGGAGAGCUUGCUCUCUGAUGGCGAGGGGCGAACGGGUGAGUAAAGCAUCGGACCGUACCGGGUAGGGGGGGAUAACGUAGCGAAAGUUACGCUAAUACCGCAUACGCACUGAGGUGGAAAGCAGGGGAUCGCAAGACCUUGCGCUAUACGAGCGGCCGAUGUCAAAUUAGCUAGUUGGUAGGGUAAAGGCCUACCAAGGCAACGAUCUGUAGCGGGUCUGAGAGGAUGAUCCGCCACACUGGGACUGAGACACGGCCCAAACUCCUACGGGAGGCAGCAGUGGGGAAUUUUGAACAAUGGGGGCAA
rnacentral:rRNA from 1 species